AGUUCCAUGGUGUAGUGGUUAUCACGUUCGCCUAACACGCGAAAGGUCCCCGGUUCAAGCCCGGGUGGAACUA
rnacentral:tRNA from 1 species